AGAUUGAACGCUGGCGGCAUGCCUUACACAUGCAAGUCGAACGGCAGCACGGGGGCAACCCUGGUGGCGAGUGGCGAACGGGUGAGUAAUGCAUCGGAACGUGCCCUGGAGUGGGGGAUAACGUAGCGAAAGUUACGCUAAUACCGCAUAUUCUGUGAGCAGUAAAGCAGGGGAUCGCAAGACCUUGCGCUUUAGGAGUCGGACGAUGUCGGAUUAGCUAGGUGUGAGGUAAGCUACACCGAAGGCGACGAUCCGUAGCGGUCGUGACGAGGAUGAACUCCGACCACACGUGGGACUGA
rnacentral:rRNA from 1 species